UACGUAGGGUGCAAGCGUUAUCCGGAAUUAUUGGGCGUAAAGAGCUCGUAGGCGGUUUGUCGCGUCUGCUGUGAAAGACCGGGGCUCAACUCCGGUUCUGCAGUGGGUACGGGCAGACUAGAGUGAUGUAGGGGAGACUGGAAUUCCUGGUGUAGCGGUGAAAUGCGCAGAUAUCAGGAGGAACACCGGUGGCGAAGGCGGGUCUCUGGGCCGAAACUGACGCUGAGGAGCGAAAGCGUGGGGAGCAAACAGG
rnacentral:rRNA from 1 species